ensembl:lncRNA
UUUAAGUUCACAGGAUGGCCCGCAGGAGCAACAUCACUCAAACACGCUUAUGAGGAAACAUCAUGACACCCUGUGACGCACUGCUGAACUUUUGGGGACUGGAGAGCAUGAAUCAGAAGCGCUACUGGUCCUUGAAAAAGAUACGCCUCGAGAAAGAACAUCAAGUACUGGCCCAACAGAACCGUGAAGGGGACUGCCACUGAUUGCCUUUAUUGUUUUGACAUCCUAUAUUGCGGCGGGUGUUGUGUAUGCGUCGCGAUGCGCAUUGUGUCUUGGGCCACCAGGUUGCAGGGGCUCACCCCCUACCUGCUCAGUCAUUGGUUCAUGCUGUGAAGGGGUGGAGUGUAGUGGAAUUCCAGGGUCACAGCCUGAACCAAUGGGUGGGCUCUGUGAGUGUGUGAGUGCGGCGGCGCGGCGGUACGAACGGGGGAGGGACACAUUCCUCAGCUCGGCUCGGUCUGCGCGCUGCUACCGGGAGGGGUGAGUCGAUUCUUUUUGAUAUCUUUCCCUCGUAUGCCUAUUUCUUAAAUAAAGGCUUUGUCAUCACCUUCAUUUGCCCUACACCAGGCUUUUAGACCCUCAUGCAGGUGAUGCUCUGAAUGGGUUUCUACUUAACUUUCUUGAGUAUGAGUGGGUUUUUGAUUAUGACAGGCAGGAGGGUUAGUGGUAGAGGCAGCAAAAGCAAGCAGGGAGCACUAAUUAGCAUACAGUAACAAAUAUUCUGUUCUUAAUGAGUUAUAACGUGAUUCCUGUUGGAGAUAAGAGAAUAAUCUGAGCUUUCCCUUCAAUAACAGUGAUCUCUCUGCGGAGCUCAGAUGCUAUGAUCACCUAAAGGGCAGACUAAUCCACACUGGAAAUAGGACACAUCCAGCUGUCACUUCUACAUGCAGUGUAAUCCACGGUCUUCUACAGCCCAAGGAAAUUAAUGUGCUGUAGCAAGACUAUGAUGUGCUGCUUUCCCGGCAGUGAGAUGCAAAGGAAGAGUGGGGGAAAUAUUCAUUUCAGUGGGAGGAGGAGGAGGCGCUUCCAUUAACUCCGUCUCAUAUUGCCAACACUGAGGAGAAAUUCCUUAAUUUUAUUUUAUAACUUCACUAAAUCAUGUGGGAGCAUCAGGCUUUGAAUAAAGAAAAGCACGGAGGAAGAGAGUGACUCAGAGGGUGAUCUGUCUUACUGAAAGCAGAGUUAAGCUCUGUGCACUUACUGUUCCUGAGACUGUUUUCCCACCUCGUAAGGUUUAUCCUUGAAGUCCCGUCUCACUCGCGGCUAUGGAGGAAGCAAAUGUUGUAGUCUGCACAGGAUGUUUGUAGUAUUUCUGGAGGGAUAAAAAUAACGUUCCCAGUUACAAUUAGUUGUCUUAGAGAUAAUUUGGGGUUUGUGUGAUGACGUUUGGCAGAUUCCCGGAGAUGCCGUCUGUUGAUCUACCUGUGCUAUACGCAAUGUUCUCCACGCGUGAUGCCGCUGCGUCGGCUGAGAGAAGUAACGGGUUGGAAAAGAAGCAGUGUUUUUCCUUCCCGUUGUUUGUGAGAAUCCAUGCGUUGAGCUUCACUUUUAAAUUGCUUGAUUCCCUCUUCGUGGCGUUUCCGAGUUGUUGAGGUUCCAGGAAGUACCUAUUAAUAUUGAAAUGCAAAACUGCAACUCCCAUUCUUUCUUACUAAUGGGAAAACAACUGCACUCCUACGUUUAAUUUGUCUGUAAAAACUGCACUACUCAAUUUGACAUCUAAAUUUUCCCUUUCUUACGAGUAAAAAGAGAGGGGGAUUGAAGGGAGAAGGAAGAAGUGGCUAUUUGGGUAGGCCACAGAUCAGUCUGUUGUCGUUAAGAAUGCUUACGCUGCAUCAGAUGUUCUGAGCAUUCCACUCUUAAAAGAAAUCUAUGUAAAAUACUGUGCAAAAUAUUCACAGGGGCAAAUGAAGUGUUCCACGUUGGUGUGUUCUGUUUUGCCACACACUGUGAACUGAAAUGGGGAAGUAUUUUAUACUUGCACUUCUCACACAAACGCUUCCCUUCAGACAAAUUCAAACAAUAUCUAAACUUUAGGAAUGAAUUUCACUUCAGGUGGGAAGCGACUUGCUCUGUCAGAUUCCACGUCUGACCUAGCUGCUGCUCUCCUAUCGUGUAAGAGCUAGGGCAAGAGCGAUAAUUGCAGUGGGGGUGUGAUUCAGAGAAACCAUAAUGAUACUAUGGAACUUAAGGUGUCAUCAGUGGGUUCUUUGUGUACAGCUGCUGGAAAAUAUUGCUGCUCCCCGGGUUAUCCACGUCACAUCCACCUGCUGGAAGUGGCCCUCAGAAGCCCUGGCAGGGACAUUCCCAUCUUGGGUGAGCAUGGGGAGAGGCAAGGGGCGGGGAGGAGGAGGCAGAGUUCCCGUCUGCUGAAGAUACCAUCUUCAACGCCACUUUAAUCUGUUAGUUUUCUGAGGUGCCGUAUUCUAUAGUCUGUAGUCUCUUGUGAAACAGAACUAGAAUGGUCUUGAAGUACUAGAAGAGUGUUUGUGGCUUCUGGACUAGUAAGACUUGCAGAUAGUCCUCUGGACUCAUCAGCUGUCAUAGGUUUGCCUGGAACCCCAAGAUGGAACAUGAUCUACUUUGCUAAAUUAAAUUUUAAGUUGUUUACUGGUAGGGGGAGAAGAACUUACUCAGAAAACAAAUACAUGCCUCCUUUUCCCAAUAUAUACCCCUCUUGUUCUCAUGAGUCCAUAUCUAACUUUCUAGGUUACUUGCGUGUUUUAAGGAUGAGAGUCUGGAAAGAUUCCCAGUUUGCUUCAUUUGAACACCGCUGUAAUUACAGUUUCACUGCUGGCCUUCAGCAGAAUUGAGCAUCUCAUCUCUUGGAAAGGAACACACACAGGAAAACAAACAAAAGUGCUUACCAGCUGGUGCUGGGUGAAUUGCACUGUUUGAAGUUCAAGGAUAUUGAGAAUAGUAUUUGGUAUUUAUGUGGCUGCUCGGCAUGUGACCUUUUAUAAUGCUACUCAUACUUGUAUUCAUAUAUAUAUUUAUAUAUAAACAUAUAUUUAUAUAAAGAUAUAUAAAUGAUAAAUAUAUAUAUUUAUAUAUGCUUGUGUAGCUUCUCUCUUGAUGAAGAAGCUUGGUUUCUCAAAUCUUUCUUGAUCCCUCCAGAUAAAUUUCUUGUUCCCCUUUAGCAAAUGGGAGAUGUAUGAUGACUCUGAGAUGUAUGGUUUGCUUUUCUGCUGCCAGCUCUUGGUUCCCACUACUAGAUAUUCCUACCUCCUAUCUGUUCCUUCUAUUCUCCCCUCCAUCGCCCAGCAAAUGGCUUCAGACAUUGUACGCUGAGGGUACAGAGAAAGCUUUGGUCUCACCCUGUUGUUCUAACUUGGUUAUGUCACAACUUCCUCCAUGAACCACUAGGUCAGUUUGCAACAUGGAAAUGGUGGCUAUGCUGAAAGAAAGCUUUAAAAGUUAGUGUGGGUGAAUACUUCUUCCCCAUAGCUGUGAAGAUGUGGAUCCCUGAUGUCUACUGAACUGGACAGGCAACAGAGUCCCCUUCAGUUUUCUCCAGGAUUUAUCCUCCAAGAGCGUGGCUUUUACUGAGUUGCAUUGCAGGGAGUUAAUUAACUUUGCAAAGCAAACAGCGCCACUAUAAGCUUGUAGGUCUGUGCUGAAAUUUCUGUAGUCUGUCCUUUAUAUGUUCAUGGAGGGCAUUGUGAACUUGCUGAAGAAGCAGCACAGUUUUUGUGAGGGUAUUACUUGCCCUCUUAUCAAAUCUGGAAUAGGCUUAGGUACCUACAGCAGCUCAGAGGAGUUAGGCAACAAGUGUUUUCCUACAGUGAGAAAAGUCUUGCAUUUGAGGGCAAAUAUCUUCCAAUUUGGCUUUGUUCUUUUUCAGAUAUUAAUCAUUUCCAUCAGCUUAAGAUUCAUCAAGGAAGUGAAUGACGAGAUGCCUAAAUAAUGCACAACCUUGGAAGGUCUUGCCACGUGAUUUAUAGAAAUGCUGUAAUAGUGCACGUAUUAUGCUAAGCGUUAGGAAGCUCUGUCAAGCACCCACACUUAACAGGCUGUGUUUCUAUUCCUGUUUUCUUCUGCUCCGUGUAUUUUUCUUUGCUCCGGACAUCCUGGAUGGCAAAUGUACAGGCAUAAAAAAUAAUAAUAAUAAUAAUCUUAUGGUAAUUCUGUCCUAUAAUAUUUGACUUGUAUCCAUGUGCAAAGAACAGCAUCAUUUCAUUUCCAACUUAUUGAUGCUCGCGUAUCUGUUAUCAGAAGUGCUGGAGUUGGAUGUAUGAAGUACCUGGCUGUCAUUUCUGGCUGUUACCUAGGAACAUCACUCAAUUUCCAGUGCUCUCUCUCCCCUUUUGCCCACCGAGUCCCGAGGUAAACUGUUUACAUUAAAAACCUUAACAGUAACCUGCUGGGUUUAUCAGGAUGGGUGGAGCGGAAGCAAGCAUGAAAUACAUUAAUGUAUGCUUAUUUUAUGUCAGCCUCCAACUGCUCGACACAAGGAUUAGGCAUUCUUGAAGGCUGCAGUACUAUAAAUUUCUCAUCUGGCACUUGUAGUUUAUAGGGGCUGAGUGGCUGUGGUGAUCCUCUAUAAACAAUUCAGACAUCUGGAAGAUGAAUUUUAAUGAGUGCUCUCAAAGCUAAGUGCUCACCUCUCUCUUUUACACCUCACAUUCACCCAUUUUUUAUCCUUACAUCAGAGGGCUGGUCUGUUUUUUGGAAUUGUCUAGUCAGGGUGGAUUCUGUCAAACCCAGAGGAAAGGGAAUGUAGCACGACACACAGAGAUGGGGUUCUCACCUGGCCUUGUUUAAGUGAGGCUUUAAGCUCUCAGCCAAAACACCUGGACUUUUUUAGAGGUGGGAUUAGCAUUUUGCAUUGAGGCAUUGUUUCACUUACUUUUGCCCAUGCAAGAGACUUCUGCGUUUCGUGUUUUGUCUGCAAAAUUUCAACCUUGUUCUAGGAAAGGCUCCAAAGUAAACUGGAGCAGCCUCAGGGGCUGUUUGAAAUCGUAGCAGCUGAGGCUGCCUCAGCACUGCAUGCUCCUCCACCCUGUGCCUCUUACACCACUGCUCUGCAAUAAGCUCAGAUCUUCACCUUCCCGGAGAAAACUCUGCUCACUGGUAGGUUUCCCUAGGCUCGGAAAUAGUCCCAUCUGCUUUAAAAUAAGCAGAGAAGGAGAGCCCGCUGGCUUUGCUGGGAAAUGGGCAUUCACCAGUUAUUGUAACUCAGCAUUACUGUUUAUAUUCUGAAGUCUGUAGACUGAUGAAAUAGGAAAAACGUAGCUAAAAUAAUUGUUCCUGGGAAUUGUGCCCGUAGAUGAAAAGUUAACCAUUCCUAAAGCUGCUGAGGACCAUUUCCCUGAACUUCCAGCAUUGUGCAAUUAACCAGACGCCUUCUCUGGGGUUUCCACUUCCCUCAGCUCUAAUAAAUACCAGAUCAUGCCAGAGGCAGCACAGAGAAAUUGAUGGAUUGAUGAAAUGAUCCAGUACCAGCAAAUCUAUAACUGCAAAAAUAGCCAGUUAUUCUUAUCGUUUCCUUGUUCUGACACAAUUUCCUGCCCUCCCACCAAGCUGCCCUGAAGAUUGCCUGGAUGACAGAUCUGCUUUGAAGACAGUUAUACCCUCUGCAAAGCAAUGUACCUCUUCUCUUAGAAAUAGCUGUGUUGAAGAGCAGUGACUGGGAGCAGGGUGAGAAGCUGAGCUGAUGUCAACAGCCUUUGAUCACAUUUGGCAUGUCUCUGGGGUGGGCAGUGCUUGUUCUUAAUGUUUCUGAUUGUACUGCACUGAAGCACAGGAGAUGUUCUUUGCUUGAUGAGUUCUACUGUACCUCCUACAGAUGUGGUGAUGGGCAGCCUGCCUGGAACAGCUCAGAACAGGGAUGUGGAGACCACAGCAGCAAGCCACUCCCAGCUCUGUAUACCAGCUAGUUUGGUGGAUUAAUGAGACAUUGCAACUGCAGCCCUGCUGAUGGAUCUGAGAGCAGUGAUGUCUGGCAUGUAGCGGUGGUGAGCUGAUGGAGUUGGUUACCCCUUUGGCACGUACAGCUGUCCUUGGUGUAGGAAGCAUGACAGCCUUUAAUACUACCAUAAAGACCUUUUUGGGAUCUAUGUACCUCUAGGUGUUGUUGACAGCUGGCCUUUACAAACUGGUCACCAUCAUCAAACCUUGUUAAGGUUAGUUUUAGAAGUGCUCAGUUGCCUUGUAGUCAUUCCUAGGUUUUAGAUAUGAAGAAGUGCUUGAAAUGAAAAGACUAAAGAGUGCAUAGGUUGGUGUUAUUCAAAAGUCUGCUUGCUGAUGGGGAAUCACUUGGAGAGCCUCGCUCAGUAGUACUCUAAGCAGUCUUGCGCUUAUGUCUACACUGAAAUACUUGUCCUCAUCCAGCACCCUUAACACUGUGUAGUGCAUUCAACACCUACAAGUGUCUGCAAGACUAAUAUCCCUCAGUCAACAAUUCUAGCGAGUCUGUUCAGUCAUUUCUAGAAGAUUGUUUAAUAAAUAUGGAUAGAGUCUGCUGUGCUUCUAGUUUCAGCGUCUGGAUUUAGAUACCUUCAUCAUAGUACCACAACACCUUAUUAGGUGGUGAUAAAUACUGUAAUCGAGGGGAUAUUCAUUCAUGUCAGUUUUGAAGGAUGAACAGCUUGCUUUCUAGCUAUUAAAUACAAACAAACACAGUUGAAGUCUCUCGUGUUAAAACUUUGGCUGUGUGCGAACUUUCCUUCCUUCAGCUAUCCCAGCUCACAGCUUAUGAGCAAAUGCCAAUUCCCACAGAGGUGGUGCAAGGAAGGGAUAUGCUGUACUGAACAUGCACUUCUCUGAAAGUAACCGUAAUGGAAAAUACUUCACAUGGUACAAUCUAGUACGGAAUACAGCAUUUAAAUUCAUUUCCCCAUUCCUGAGUUCCAGAACUUGUCUAGAGCACAGUGUAUUACUCUUCUGGUUUACUUUUCCAUGUCCUUCCCACAAGGAUCAAUUGUACAGAGGAGAUAAGGUACACCAAGAAUCUGCUUUUAAUGCUUGACUUUUUCUACUCUGUAGAUGUGGGGAGAGGAAGAGGCUUUUCAGGAGAAAUGUUACAAAAUACUGAAAAGCUAUUUCUUCAAUUUGCCAACCCUGUAUUUCUCACUUGCACUGUUCGUAGUCCCUAUAGCUUGUGCUUUGUGUUGGCGGACUUCAUUAGACAUAAGAACACAAGGGAAUGAAUAUAUAUUUAAAAAAAAAAAAAGAAUGGCUGAAAAGAACAAAUAUCUCUUGGCUCCUGUAGGUGUGUUCAAACCAUCUGCUGCUCACGUUUAUCAGUGCUGAAGGUUGCAGUCAAAGUCAAUUUGGUGAAUAAAGUUCAGGCUAGAGAUUGCUGUGGGGUAAAACGAUCUUCAUUUGUUACUGACCAGUGCCUUUGGUAUUCUGUAGCUGCCACAAUACAAUUAAUGAGGUGUCAGUGGUAAGAUUUAACCUGUAAGCUACCUUUAGGUUUCAUGUGUAAAGCUGAUAAUACGGUAUCAGCAGUAUGAACAAGGCAGCUCAGCUGGUGUCUAAGCAAAAGUGGGUUGAAUAUGAGAGAUGCAAACUUCUGUCUGCAAGCUCCUGCUGCACUCAGAGCUCAGCAGGAGCUGAGACCACCUUCAUCCUUUCAUGGCAAGAUUUCUGUGUUGUUUGAAACACCUACUGAAUAGCAAAAAGUGGAAAGGAAGCAGUGGGUCACUGAUCCUGACUGAUUUCAAGGACCAAAUACUUCAUUGUAACUCCGGAAAGAACACUGACCUGCAAGCUGAAAACUUUAUGGACUCCAUUUUCCUAGAACAAGAAGUACCAGCAGAACAGCCAAACCAAAAUAAAUAACUUAUUUUUUCCUUCCUUCCCAAGUACCUUGUUACUGGAAGAAUCAAUAUUCUAUUCUAUUCCUGACUCUUAUUGGAUUUUUAUAAAUACAUAUUCCUAUAUAACUUUAAGCCAACAAUAGAACGAAGCCAUAGCUCAUCAGUUGCAUUUAUAACUGCUUCUGAGAUGUAUGAAAAUGAACUGAAGUUAGUAAAUUGCUUGGAGAUUCUUGGGUGCAGUUCCUUAUUUUGCUCCCCAUGUUUCUGUUGUAGCAGUUGUCAGCUGCUCUCAGAAGCACGUAGAUCCGGUGUACAGCUCUGCACUACUUUGGGGAUGAAUCAAAAGAUGACUUUUCAAAUGUUCUUGAAGUCCAUUGUUUGCACAAGAAACAGUCCUCUGCACCGCUGCUCAAUGAGCUGUCAGGAAAAUUACUACACAGAUAAUAAAUUAUAAAGAUCUGUCACAAAAUGCAGCAUGCUUGAAUAAUUUUCAAAACUAUUAAUAAAUCCCGAGUAGUUGAAACAACUGUCUCUGUUCUUUCUCACCAGAGACAGCUGAUUGAAAUGUAGUCAGCACUGAACGGCUUGACAUGGUUGAGCUCCACUCAGAUACGGGCACAUGACUGAAAAAGAGGGAAGAGGAAACUUGAGGUUCUAGUGGUUUCAUUUCUUGGAAGUUUAAACUCGGGUUUCAGCACACGGCAUUUCCACUGUUUGGGCAGAAAAAUGGCCAGGGACAAUUCUUGACCUAUGAGCUGAAUCACAAUGAGCGGAAGGUAUGUGUUUUUCAGGAUGAGUUAUUGAAGUUAAAAGUGAGUAUUCAAGUCAUAUCUGAUUACCAUUGUUCAUAUUCUAAUCCCGAACUACCAACAAGUCUCAGUGUCCUUAAGUUUUGAGUAUGUUUGUGUAGUUACACAGUGACUUACACCUUGCAGCCUGCUUGGUUUGCAUUCUGGGUAUGGCUUAAUGUUCAUGGUCACGGAGAGCAAGCACGCCCUUGGUCCUGCUCCAAAUUCUGCCCAUAAACCAGGUGCUCAGCUGUGGUUUAGAGACCUGUAAUUCUGUGCUGGGGUCACCAGGACUUCUUGGUUGCAAUUGUUCAACUCUGUAAUAAGAGAAAUAAAACCAACAAAUGUCGCUAUGUGUUUUUGAAACGCCUUCAUCGGUUGUGUACCCGAAGGUUUUUGCCCUAGGCUAACAAAUGUCAAAGCAAUCUGUUGGGUAAACUUCUGCAAACAAGUCGGUGUUGAAUAACAGGGUUCAGACAAUUGCUUAGACGUAGGCUAAAGAGAUCUGCAGAGCUUCUUGGUGGUGACCAGUGGUCAUGGCAAUGAACGCCUUGUACUUGUAGAUGGGACAGGAGACAUUUAGAGGAGUAACAACCAAUCAAAGCUUUGAACUCCAAAACCUUGUAUUACUACACGCAAUACCUGUAAGGUCAGGGGAAAGGGUGUUUUAAUGCGAAUGGAAGGACUACUUUUUCAUGUGAUUGGGUCUCCUUGGGUCUGAUGCUCCUUCCGAUUUCCUUCCUUGUGGCCCUGGAAGACGUGCUGUAGGAAGCAGUCUACGCAGAGAGGUGGUCUGGAUGUUAAUGCCUUACUUGUUGCACCUCUGAAAGAUUGCUGAAUCUGUGGCUUUGUGUUGCUCUACUCUGGACAAGGUUUGUUAGCAACCAAUUAAGUUAUAUUUUUCCAGUAGUUGUACUGCAAGGAAAGAAA